rnacentral:rRNA from 1 species
GUUCAUGACCAAUUCACCUGGAGUAGUACCGAUACCCAUCAGAUCUCAGAAGCUAAGCAGGUUUGUGCCUGGAUAGUUCUUGGUUGGGCGACCACCGCGCAUAGAAACAGGAGUUGUAGGCU